rnacentral:rRNA from 1 species
UAGUGGCGAACGGGUGAGUAACGCGUGGGCAACCUGCCCUUUACAGGGGGAUAACACCGAGAAAUCGGUGCUAAUACCGCAUGAAGUAUCUCUGGUGCAUGCCGGAGAUAUCAAAGGAGUCGCUUUAAAAAGCGCAUCCGGUAAGGGAUGGGCCCGCGUCUGAUUAGCUAGUUGGUAAGGUAACGGCUUACCAAGGCGACGAUCAGUAGCCGAUCUGAGAGGAUGAACGGCCACACUGGAACUGAGACACGGUCCAGACUCCUACGGGAGGCAGCAGUGGGGAAUAUUGCGCAAUGGGGGAAACCCUGACGCAGCAACGCCGCGUGGAGGAAGAAGGUCUUCGGAUUGUAAACUCCUGUCUUCAGGGACGAAAAUGACGGUACCUGAGGAGGAAGCCACGGCUAACUACGUG